rnacentral:tRNA from 1 species
GGGGCCGUAGCUCAGUUGGGAGAGCGCCUGCUUUGCAAGCAGGAGGCCACCGGUUCGAUUCCGGUCGGCUCCACCA